rnacentral:piRNA from 1 species
UCCCUUCCAUCUUGACCAACA